AUUGAACGCUGGCGGCAUGCCUUACACAUGCAAGUCGAACGGUAACAGGUCUUCGGAUGCUGACGAGUGGCGAACGGGUGAGUAAUACAUCGGAACGUGCCCGAUCGUGGGGGAUAACGGAGCGAAAGCUUUGCUAAUACCGCAUACGAUCUACGGAUGAAAGCAGGGGACCGCAAGGCCUUGCGCGGACGGAGCGGCCGAUGGCAGAUUAGGUAGUUGGUGGGAUAAAAGCUUACCAAGCCGACGAUCUGUAGCUGGUCUGAGAGGACGACCAGCCACACUGGGACUGUGACACGGCCCAGACUCCUACGGGAGGCAGCAGUGGGGAAUUUUGGACAAUGGGCGCAAGCCUGAUCCAGCCAUGCCGCGUGCAGGAUGAAGGCGUUAUGCGUUGUAAACUGCUUUUAUACAGGAAGAAACGACUCUUGCGAGAGGCAUUGACGGUACUGUAUGAAUAAGCACCGGCUAACUCCGUGCCAGCCGCCGCAGUAAAAC
rnacentral:rRNA from 1 species